CUUAUGUGUUUCAGAACUUGAACCUUAGGCAGCCAUGCUGUCCUUGGAUGUAGUAGAAUUUGAGACAUGGAUCCAAGCUGGCAGUAGAUUACCAGGGAGGCUAAAGAAGAGCUUCAUCCCAGAUCAAGCACAAGGAUGGACAAUAGGAACAAGAGAAGAGUCACAGAGCCAAAAAAUGAUCAAGGAUGCUCAAGAAUGUAACUGCCCUCCCUCUUCCUCUGGUGUGGAUAACAUUAUCUGCACCGUUUUCUACUGACAGAUUUCUCUCCGGAAUGACCACAGCAGGACUCUUUCGUGUUCUCUUGAUGCUCUACUUUCUGCCACUGGCACUUGCAAAGUAAUGAGUAAGUAGGUUUCUCAGAAUUCGUGUGCAAAUUCUGGAGACUGCAUUCAUGCCUGACAGUACAAUGGGAAACAUUACUAUUGCGUCCAAUAAUGAAAACACUUGUUUCUGGUUUCUCAGUUCCUUCCUACCAUGGCAACAUGACUA